rnacentral:rRNA from 1 species
CCUACGGGAGGCAGCAGUGGGGAAUUUUGGACAAUGGGCGAAAGCCUGAUCCAGCAAUGCCGCGUGAGUGAAGAAGGCCUUCGGGUUGUAAAGCUCUUUUGUCAGGGAAGAAACGGUGAGAGCUAAUAUCUUUUGCUAAUGACGGUACCUGAAGAAUAAGCACCGGCUAACUACGUGCCAGCAGCCGCGGUAAUACGUAGGGUGCAAGCGUUAAUCGGAAUUACUGGGCGUAAAGCGUGCGCAGGCGGUUUUGUAAGUCUGAUGUGAAAUCCCCGGGCUCAACCUGGGAAUUGCAUUGGAGACUGCAAGGCUAGAAUCUGGCAGAGGGGGGUAGAAUUCCACGUGUAGCAGUGAAAUGCGUAGAUAUGUGGAGGAACACCGAUGGCGAAGGCAGCCCCCUGGGUCAAGAUUGACGCUCAUGCACGAAAGCGUGGGGAGCAAACAGGAUUAGAUACCCUGGUAGUCCACGCCCUAAACGAUGUCUACUAGUUGUCGGGUCUUAAUUGACUUGGUAACGCAGCUAACGCGUGAAGUAGACCGCCUGGGGAGUACGGUCGCAAGAUUAAAACGUCAAAAUUGAGUUAGACGGACGUAGAGACGUUGCCGACGGACGACGACGAGGGAGGAGG